rnacentral:rRNA from 1 species
GACGUAGGGCGCGAGCGUUGUCCGGAUUUAUUGGGCGUAAAGAGCUCGUAGGCGGCUUGUCGCGUCGACUGUGAAAUCCCGCGGCUCAACUGCGGGUCUGCAGUCGAUACGGGCAGGCUAGAGUUCGGUAGGGGAGACUGGAAUUCCUGGUGUAGCGGUGAAAUGUGCAGAUAUCAGGAGGAACACCGGUGGCGAAGGCGGGUCUCUGGGCCGA